GUACACGCUGUGACUAGCAUAUCAAUAAGCGGAGGAAAAGAAACUAACAAGGACUCCCCUAGUAACGGCGAGUGAAGCGGGAAGAGCUCAAAUUUGAAAUCUUAAAGGGUUUCCCUUUACGAAUUGUAGUUUAAAGAAGUGUUUUCUGCUGAGGUUUUGGUAAAAGUUCUUUGGAAUAGGACAUCAUAGAGGGUGAGAAUCCCGUAUUUGACCUUUACUUUCAACUUUGUGAUACACUUUCAAAGAGUCGGAUUGUUUGGGAAUGCAGUCCAAAAUGGGUGGUAAAUUUCAUCUAAAGCUAAAUAUUGGCGAGAGACCGAUAGCGAACAAGUACCGUGAGGGAAAGAUGAAAAGAACUUUGAAAAGAGAGUUAAACAGUACGUGAAAUUGUCAAAAGGGAAGCGUUUGACACCAGUGUUGUUUUUCUGAAAAUCAAUUAAAGAACUGUUUAUGCUAAGUUGUUCAGACUUUAUCAGCUAAUCUGUUUAGUUUUGAGCUUUUCUUUAAUGCACUUUUCAGUUAACAAGUCAACAUCAAUUUCUUUUGCUGUAAAAAAGCUUGAGGAAGGUGGCUUGAGAUUCGUCUUAAGUGUUUAUAGCCUCUUGCCUAUGCAGUCGGAGAGAUUGAGGUCUGCAGCGUAGAUCCUUCGGGGCUAAAUGCAUUUGUGCUAAGUUAUAGCAUUUUAUAGACAACUUGUUGACUAUGAUUUGUCUUGUAGCUUACUCGCUUAUGUUAUUUUACCUACGCUUAGGAUGUUGAAGAUGUAGCACAUCAU
rnacentral:rRNA from 1 species